UCUUGGAAAUAAAAAGAAGAAAUCUACCAGAGUACUACGAAUUCAAAAAUUUAAAACUCAAAGAGCUUGGCGGUGCUUUUAGACCUUUCAGGGGAACCUGUCUUUUAAUCGACAAUCCACGUUAAACCUAACCUUUUUUUGUAUAACAGUUUGUAUACCGUCGUCGUCAGGUAACUUUUAAAAAUUUAGUAGUUAGCGAAAAAAUUUAAUAAUAAAUUUAAACGUCAGAUCAUGGUGCAAUUAAUGGAAAGGUUAAGAUGGGUUACAAUUAUAUAUUAAUAAUAAUACGAAUAAUUAAUUGAAACAUUAAUUUGAAGGAGGACUUGAAAGUAAAAAUAUUUAUAUAUAUAACUUGAAUAAGGCUCUGAAGCGUGC
rnacentral:rRNA from 1 species